rnacentral:rRNA from 1 species
AUUGAACGCUGGCGGCAGGCUUAACACAUGCAAGUCGAGCGGGGACUUCGGUCCUAGCGGCGAACGGGUGAGGAAUGCUUGGGAAUCUGCCUUGUAGUGGGGGUUAACGUUUCGAAAGGAACGCUAAUACCGCAUACGCCCUACGGGGGAAAGGGGGGGAUCUUCGGACCUCUCGCUAUAAGAUGAGCCCAAGUCGGAUUAGCUAGUUGGUGGGGUAAAGGCUCACCAAGGCGACGAUCCGUAGCUGGUCUGAGAGGAUGAUCAGCCACACUGGAACUGAGACACGGUCCAGACUCCUACGGGAGGCAGCAGUGGGGAAUAUUGGACAAUGAGCGAAAGCCUGAUCCAGCCAUGCCGCGUGUGUGAAGAAGGCAUUCGGGUUGUAAAGCACUUUAAGCGAGGAGGAAUGGCUCUGGGUUAAUACCCUUGAGCAGUGACGUUACUCGCAGAAUAAGCACCGGCUAACUCUGUGCCAGCAGCCGCGGUAACAC